AUGAAAUCGAAAUGGAGGCUAAACACUGAGGAAAUGAGUUUUGCUCCCUGUGCUGGAAGAAGGCCUGGCUGCCACAGUUGUUGGACUCUGCCUCUGUGCUGUUUUUUUCAGACUGGAAAGGCGGGAGCAGGCAGGUGUGUGACUGGUGUCUUCAUUGCAGUGGGUCAACAGUGCCAUCGUGCGGAAAAGCCUUCAGACAUACCUUGCACAUUCAGAAGCCGCUUCCCCAGGGCUGCUUGCAGCCUUUUUGGAGAUUUGGAACCUAAGAUGUAACCUCAGAGCACAAGACAAUCCUAUGUCAUGAGUAAGGCCUGGAGUGGAGCUCUGCUGGGAGAAGAAGAAACUCAAGGCUCCAUCAUCAGCUGGUCACUGACUUCUUCGAAAAUGAGGAUGCCUGAGGGAGGUGGGUGCCUCAAGUCUCCCCCUUCUUCCUCUCUCCCUGUUGCUUAGAUCAUAAUUCCCAUGUAGUUUCCUUGUUGCAUUCCUUGGACUUUGGUCUUCUGUGUUUCGAUGGUGGAUUCCUAUGAAGGAACAGAC
rnacentral:lncRNA from 1 species